AACUCUGACACAGUGCUGCAUGGCCGUCGUCAGCUCGUGUCGUGAGAUGUUGGGUUAAGUCCCGUAACGAGCGCAACCCUUGUCCUUAGUUACCAGCACGUUAUGGUGGGCACUCUAAGGAGACUGCCGGUGACAAACCGGAGGAAGGUGGGGAUGACGUCAAGUCAUCAUGGCCCUUACGGCCUGGGCUACACACGUGCUACAAUGGUCGGUACAAAGGGUUGCCAAGCCGCGAGGUGGAGCUAAUCCCAUAAAACCGAUCGUAGUCCGGAUCGCAGUCUGCAACUCGACUGCGUGAAGUCGGAAUCGCUAGUAAUCGUGAAUCAGAAUGUCACGGUGAAUACGUUCCCGGGCCUU
rnacentral:rRNA from 1 species